AUUAUGUAUUUUUUAUUCUUUAUUUCACUUCAAUAUGAAAUACAAGCUAAAGAAAACAUCAUUCCAAAAUGUAUCACUCAAUAUAUACAUAAAUACUCUCUCUAUAAAUAGUAUCACAAAAAGUAUACAACUUUAAUUUAUUUUUACAAACACCUCAUUAUUGACUUGAAAGUUUGCUUAUAAAUAGUUUGUUUAUUUUCCCUCUUAUAGUGGGUAUAUUCUGAACUAAAAUCUCAUUACAGAAAGUAAAAAAACUCCCAUCAUGAAGAAGGUCUGUUUCCAUUACAAAAUAAUGCUAGAAUACUAAAUAAAAGUAGAUCUACCAUCCUCUCCCCCUCCAUCUUUUUUUCUCAAUC